CUCCCGCUCCCUCCCCCCUAACCCUCAUUCAUAAAAUGGCUGCUUCACAACUUCAAUUCCUGGCAUGGAAUUUAUGGAUAAGGGGUCAGGGGCAGCAACAGGCCAGGAGGGACUUGUUAGUUCUAUUUUUCCCCUCCCUCCCAUCUUUUUCUCCCCCUCCUUUUCCGGAUAAAAAAACAAAACAAAAACCUACACCAAUGCGAUUUGUCCACCUAAUUCUCCUCCACACAUAUGCCAGCCUUCCUCUUCUCUACCCCAACCCUCCCCUUUCCUCUUACCCACUCCCCUCCAAAACAAACCUGAUACCCUUGUAGCCUAGGAGGGAAACUAAAGCUAUGCAUCUGGCAGAGGAAGGCAGGCACGAAGUGGAGAAGGGGCAGGAGCAAGUGCUGGUGGCUCCUCCUAAGAGGCCAGCAAGAGGGGAACGGGGACAAUCUCAGGUUCCAUCCCUGGAACACAACCUCCAUGUUUCUGCAGUUUUACCACAUCACACAGAUGCACAUGCAAACUCCCAGGGCAUGGUUUAAAAACAACAGAACAUUGAUUGCUAUAGCAUUUGCUCCUUAAACUCCAAUCUAUGUUAAAGGAGCAACAAAAUGGGGCAGCUUGAAUGGCCGAGAAACUCAUCCCAACCUGUCAACACAUACCUGUGUUGGUAUGAGACAAAGGUGUGUGUGUCAAGGUAAAUUUGGGCCUAUUGCAUCUGUUUUCCUCAUGACACCACGCUGCGAUAUCUGCUUCUGAAAGUGCACAAAUUAAAACUCACUCAGUGACAGCACACAAACCCCGAGGUGCAUGUCAGGUUACACCAUAGGUAACAGCAUAAAGUUUCAGAGGGGGUUGCGGUUACGACGUAGCUACGGCGUAGAUUUCCCACUGAAGCAUUAAACCCCAGUAACAAUCCCUCUCCUCCUCCCACCUUCUCCCCUGUGCUGAUCCUGGAGCCCCCAGCAGAAGACGGUACGAGCAAGGAAGGGUCGAGGCCACGAGAUGAACGGUCCCACCUCUUGCUGGAAUGAGCAUUAAUUUGAUAGGGGUUGGGCUGAGCCAGGACUGUGAGAAGGAAGCCGCUCCUAUUGGAUCCAGAUGUGAGCGGAAGGACAGACAACAGCUCGACUGAAAGCCACCGGACAUGAUGUGGCAGACAAUAGAGGCCGUGGACAGCUGUUAAUCUAGUAACAUCUGGCUCCGUCAACCCACAUUUUUCUCUCCCAUAGUGAAUGGAUACGGACUAUUCUCAGAAAUGACAUGGUGAUCCCUUGAUCCACUCUUGCAUCAGAUAUGUCUGGCAUGAGAUAGCUGAAGCUAGCACAGACGUGUGCACACACACACACACAAGCAUCAUUUGCGGUUAUGGGGCAUGGGACAUGAGGUCUGAACAGGAGCCAUUGUAGACUGCACUACCAGGCAGCCACACUGGGGCCCAUUCGCCCCUCUGAUAUGGCUCGAGUCUGAACACCUACGUCAGCCCACAAGCAGCCCGCGUGACGUCAAGCACAUGUGUGCUUUGACCAGAAGCCUGCACGAGUUGGUUUCACACAGAGAACGAAAAGGAGGAUGGAAAGGGAAGAGAGCACAAUUCUGAUGUCUCAACUAUUUGUAGCCCCCUAAAACAGAAACUGAGAUCAGCUUUGAUUAGAACACGCAAAAUAAAACAGCGGUAUUAGUAUUUCACAGCGAGCAUCACUGUCAGUCUAAUGGUAUAAUUAUACGUCUGCUCUCAAAUAACUCUGAGGCAUUCUUGGUGCCCACAGUAGGCCAAUGUUCAAAUAAAAUAGCACUCUCUGGUUGACCAGCAGCUGCUGGCUUAUAUAUAAAGAGAAGUGAUACAGAUGCCAAAGGAGACAGCAAUAAAAGUAAAUCAUUUCACCAGUCAAGGGUACAUCAUGUCAGAUCGAAUGGGCAGGUUUCUUGGAAUAAAAAAAAACAAAAAAAACAGACCUUUGUUCGUAAGUCAAUAUUCCCCUUUGUUCUUUGUGCUUCUUGUGUAAUACAAUGUUGUAUUCUGUUUUCUGCGUCAGUGCAGGGUAACAGAAUACAACAGUCGUGUCUGGUGUUGUAUUACAUUAGCUAAUAAAUGACAUCCUGAUGCUGAGUUAACUUUGUUGUCUGUUUGGCUGGAUAAAAUGUGCCAGAAGGAAUGUCUCAAAGGCAAGAAAACAACAAAAAAAAAAGUAGGUUUGGCCAUGAAAUUAAAUCUUGAUCUUUCUGUAUCACUGACACAGUCACAAAAACACCAACUCCAGAGCACAUUACACUGAUCCCUGUGUCGCCCCUGCACCCUCCUGGUACCCAUUCUGCUGGCUCCAACCGCCAAGGCCACCCGCCACGAGGGAAGCAGCAGAACAGUCCGGCAUUCCACAAGCCUACGUGCUGCACUACACAACCACAUAACUGCGUACAUGGGGGGGCGUCUACCCUCACAGUGCACCCCAUCACCCUCAAUCACAACACACAGACGUAAAAACACUCUGGCACGGGGUACAGCAUGCACGCAUGCAUCGAUAAUGCUUUCUUAAUGAUUUUUGCCACUGUCUGGUCAAAAGAGGACAUAUCGUCACUGGUCCACAAUAUUCACCCAUCAAUACAUUACAAAACAGUUUUGAAGUUGAAUCCGUUGACCAAUGAGGAGUAAAGACUAAUGUGCUUAAGUCAGAGACCAGACUCCCCACUGCUCUCGUAAGCCUGUUU